AAGGAUCAUUAAAGAAUCUUUAUGCUGCCUGCGCUUUAAUUAGCGCGGUGGCUAAAACCUUACACACAGUGCUUAGUUUUUUCUAACAUUGCUUUGGUCGAGCGCUUGCGCCUGGCCAGAGGUCUUAUAAAACACAAGAUUUUUAUAUCUUUUUUAUUAACCAUAGUCAAGAAGUUUUACUAUAAACAAAUCUUCAAAACUUUCAACAACGGAUCUCUUGGUUCUCGCAACGAUGAAGAACGCAGCGAAAUGCGAUACGUAAUGUGAAUUGCAGGUUUUCGUGAAUCAUCGAAUCUUUGAACGCAUAUUGCGCCCUCUGGUAUUCCAGAGGGCAUGCCUGUUUGAGCGUCAUUUCUCUCUCAAACCUCUCGGGUUUGGUAUUGAGUGAUACUCUUUUUCUUGGGUUAACUUGAAAUAAGCUGGCAAGAGCUGCUAUUGCAGAUCUCCUCUGAACUAACGUUUCUAGGUUCUACCAAUUCGUUAUGGACAGAUGUGAAGGAAGUGAUGGUGUGUGGGCUCGGCCUAAUAAUUUCUCUUAAAGUUUGACCUCAAAUCAGGUAGGAUUACCCGCUGAACUUAA
rnacentral:rRNA from 1 species